rnacentral:rRNA from 1 species
GUCGAGGGGCAGCAUGAAAGUUUGCUUGCAAACUUUUGAUGGCGACCGGCGCACGGGUGAGUAACACGUAUCCAACCUGCCUCAUACUCGGGGAUAGCCUUUCGAAAGAAAGAUUAAUACCCGAUGUCAUAGUCCUACCGCAUGAUGGGAUUAUUAAAGAAUUUCGGUAUGGGAUGGGGAUGCGUUCCAUUAGUUAGUUGGCGGGGUGACGGCCCACCAAGACAACGAUGGAUAGGGGUUCUGAGAGGAAGGUCCCCCACAUUGGAACUGAGACACGGUCCAAACUCCUACGGGAGGCAGCAGUGAGGAAUAUUGGUCAAUGGACGAGAGUCUGAACCAGCCAAGUAGCGUGAAGGAUGACUGCCCUAUGGGUUGUAAACUUCUUUUAUAUGGGAAUAAAACGUUCCACGUGUGGAAUUUUGUAUGUACCAUAUGAAUAAGGAUCGGCUAACUCCGUGCCAGCAGCCGCGGUAAUACGGAGGAUCCGAGCGUUAUCCGGAUUUAUUGGGUUUAAAGGGUGCGUAGGCGGGCACUUAAGCCGGCGGUCAAAUGUCGGGGCUCAACCCCGGCCUGCCGUCGGAACUGGGUGCCUUGAGUGGGCGAGAAGUAUGCGGAAUGCGUGGUGUAGCGGUGAAAUGCAUAGAUAUCACGCAGAACCCCGAUUGCGAAGGCAGCAUACCGGCGCCCUACUGACGCUGAGGCACGAAAGUGCGGGUAUCGAACAGGAUUAGAUACCCUGGUAGUCCGCACAGUAAACGAUG